UACGAAGGGGGCUAGCGUUGCUCGGAAUCACUGGGCGUAAAGCGCACGUAGGCGGAUUGUUAAGUCAGGGGUGAAAUCCUGGAGCUCAACUCCAGAACUGCCCUUGAUACUGAGGAGCUCGAGUCCGGAAGAGGUGAGUGGAACUGCGAGUUGUAGAGGUGAAAUUCGUAGAUAUUCGCAAGAACACCAGUGGCGAAGGCGGCUCACUGGUCCGGUACUGACGCUGAGGUGCGAAAGCGUGGGGAGCAAACAGG
rnacentral:rRNA from 1 species